CAAUAGCGUAUAUUAAAGUUGUUGCAGUUAAAAAGCUCGUAGUUGGAUUUCUGGUAGGAGUGACCGUUCCGAACUUGAUUGUUCGUGUAUUGUGUUUUCUCCAGCCAUCCUUGUGGAGAACUUUUCUUGCAUUAAUUUGUAGGGAUUGGGACCCGCACCGUUUACUGUGAAAAAAUUAGAGUGUUUAAAGCAGGCAAUCGCUUGAAUACAUUAGCAUGGAAUAAUAAGAUAGGACUUUGGUACUAUUUUGUUGGUUUGCAUACCAAAUUAAUGAUCAACAGGAACAGUUUGAGGAUAUUCGUAUGAACAUGUCAGAGGUGAAAUUCUUGGAUUUUGAUCAGACGAACUACUGCGAAAGCAUUUAUCAAGGAUGUUUUCAUUAA
rnacentral:rRNA from 1 species